CAUGAAAGCAUCUCUGAUACGCUGUAUCUUGGUCAUCUGUCUGGCAGUCCAGCAUUGCCAGAGGAUCUUUUGGAUCCAGUUUGUCUCAUGGUCCAUGGAUUGGGGUUUUCCCAGGAGAUUCACUCCACAGAUUCCAGUCAAGUCUAGAAGCUUGACUGGGCUGGAAUCUGUGCAGUUUGGAAAGGCAGCUGUCUUCAGGGAGUGCCGUUGCCAUGGUGGAUGUGUGCUUGGCUUGUAACUACAUUUAGGCACGACUUUCAGACUGUCUGCAGUGGAUGACCUUGAUUUCAGACGUGUGGAAACGGCUCAUUCGGACACUGUGAAGC
ensembl:lncRNA